CCCAAUGUCCCUGUGUCCCCUCAAUAUCCCCCAUGUCCCCCCCAAUGUCCCUCCAUGUCCCCACAAUGUCCCCAAUGUCCCUGAUGUCCCUGUGCCCCUCGGAUGUCCCCAGUCCCCCAAUGACGUCCCCAAUGUCCCCAGUGUCCCCGUGUCCCCCCGAUGUCCCCGGUGUCACUCACAAUUUGUCACUGCAGGUCAGCAUGGCCUCGGCCACCGGCAGCGGCAGCGUCACCGCCGCCCCCGCCACGAAGGACAGGAUGCGCCCGGCGACGCUGAACGGCUCUGGGGACACAGGGCACAAUGGGGACAAUGAGGGGACAGCCUUGGGACACCCCCAGGACACCCCCGGGGGACGCUGAACGGCUCUGGGGACAAUGGGGACAAUGAGGGGACAGCUGGGGACACCCCCAGGACAGCCCAAAACCCCGGGGACAGCCAAGGGACACCACGGGGACUCCCGGGACACAUCAGUGUCCCCAGAGGUGACACAGAAGGUGACAGACACGCCCCCCCCCCCCCCCCCCAGUGCCUCCAGGUGUGCCCAGGUGCCCCCAGAUGCCCCCCAGGUGUCCCCAUGCCCCCCAGGUGUGCCCAGGUGUAUCACAGGUGUGCCCAGGUGUGCCCAUGCCCCCCAGGUGUGCCCAGGUGUGCCCAGGUGUGCCCGCACCGCUGGCCGGGGGCUCGCUGCGGGCGAACAGCUCCCGCCAGGGCGGGUCCAGGAAGGCGGAGCCGUAGCGGCCAUCGAGGGUGCCCAGGUGCUGCGCCACGGGGUGGGGACCUGGGGACAGGACGGGUGGGCACGGGUGGGCACAGAGAACACCCAGGUGAGCCCCAGGUGUGCCCAGAGACCCUCCCAGGUGUGUGCUGGUACCUCCAGGUGUGCCCAGGUGUGCUCCAGGUACCUCCAGGUGUGCCCAGAGACUGCCCAGGUGUGCCCAGGUGGACACAAAGACCCUCCCAGGUGGGCACAGAGACCCUCCAGGUGGACACAAAGACCCCCCAGGUGUGCCCAGAGACCCCCAGUUGUGCCCAGGUGUGCUCCAGGUAACUCCAGGUGGGCACAGAUGCCCCCCCAGGUGUGUCCCAAUGUCCCCAGGUGUCUCCCAGGUGUGUCCCCAAAUUGUGCCCAGGUGUGUCACCCAUACCCCCAGGUGU
rnacentral:lncRNA from 1 species